rnacentral:sRNA from 1 species
CACAGUUCAGCACCGCCCCGGAAAUCAAGGCCCCUGAGCCUCUGAGCUCCUUGAAGUCCAUGGCGGAACGGGCAGCCAUCAGCUCUGGCAUCGAGGACCCUGUGCCAACGCUGCACCUGACUGAGCGAGACAUCAUCCUGAGCAGCACAUCAGCACCUCCGGCCUCAGCCCAGCCGCCCCUGCAGCUGUCAGAGGUGAACAUACCGCUGUCGCUGGGUGUCUGUCCACUGGGCCCUGUGCCCCUCACCAAGGAGCAGCUCUAUCAGCAGGCCAUGGAAGAGGCCGCCUGGCACCACAUGCCUCACCCCUCUGACUCUGAGCGUAUCCGGCAGUACCUCCCCCGGAACCCCUGUCCGACCCCCCUACCACCACCAGAUGCCACCCCCACACUCGGACACUGUGGAGUUCUACCAGCGCCUGUCGACCGAGACACUCUUCUUCAUCUUCUACUAUCUGGAGCUUCUCUGAAAGCAAUUUUCACCUCCUGUCUCAUUUUCCUUCUGACCAGCAUUGGUAUGUUCUGUGCCCCCAGCCCCAUCUCCAAGAGGAUUGUCCAGCCCAACUGUGGUCUGUGGCGGGGGCCGGGGUUCAGCCCUGAUGUCCUGCCCCAUCCCCCUGGCUCCCCACCCAGUUUGGGGGCCCCCUGAUCCCCCUCUCCACUGUUCCUCCCCCAGGGCACUAAGGCACAGUACCUGGCAGCCAAGGCCCUAAAGAAGCAGUCGUGGCGAUUCCACACCAAGUACAUGAUGUGGUUCCAGAGGCACGAGGAGCCCAAGACC